rnacentral:rRNA from 1 species
CGGGUGCCAUGGGCGAGCCAUGAUGCAGCGACGCCGCGUGAGGGAUGACGGCCUUCGGGUUGUAAACCUCUUUCGACAGGGACGAAGCGCAAGUGACGGUACCUGUAGAAGAAGCACCGGCCAACUACGUGCCAGCAGCCGCGGUAAUACGUAGGGUGCGAGCGUUGUCCGGAAUUACUGGGCGUAAAGAGCUUGUAGGCGGUUCGUCGCGUCGAUUGUGAAAACUUGCAGCUCAACUGCAAGCUUGCAGUCGAUACGGGCGGACUAGAGUACUUCAGGGGAGACUGGAAUUCCUGGUGUAGCGGUGAAAUGCGCAGAUAUCAGGAGGAACACCGGUGGCGAAGGCGGGUCUCUGGGAAGUAACUGACGCUGAGAAGCGAAAGCGUGGGUAGCGAACAGGAUUAGAUACCCCUGUAGUCCA